rnacentral:rRNA from 1 species
AACGAACGCUGGCGGCAGGCCUAACACAUGCAAGUCGAGCGAGGACUUCGGUCCUAGCGGCGGACGGGUGAGUAACGCGUGGGAACGUGCCCUUUGCUUCGGAAUAGCCCUGGGAAACUGGGAGUAAUACCGGAUGAGCCCUUUGGGGGAAAGAUUUAUCGGCGAAGGAUCGGCCCGCGUUGGAUUAGGUUGUUGGUGGGGUAAUGGCCUACCAAGCCGACGAUCCAUAGCUGGUUUGAGAGGAUGAUCAGCCACACUGGGACUGAGACACGGCCCAGACUCCUACGGGAGGCAGCAGUGGGGAAUCUUAGACAAUGGGGGGAACCAUGAUCUAGCCAUGCCGGGUGAGCGAUGAAGGCCUUAGGGUUGUAAAGCUCGUUCAGCUGGGAAGAUAAUGACGGUACCAGCAGAAGAAGCCCCGGCUAACUCCGUG